GAUGAAGAACGUAGCGAAAUGCGAUGCUUGGUGUGAAUUGCAGAAUCCCGUGAACCAUCGAGUCUUUGAACGCAAGUUGCGCCCGAAGCCAUUAGGCCGAGGGCACGCCUGCCUGGGCGUCACACGUCGUUGCCCCCCCAUCUACUCCUUCGGGAUUGCGGGGGGCGGAUGAUGGCCUCCCGUGCGCCUCGCCGCGCGGUUGGCAUAAAUGCCAAGUCCUCGGCGACGCACGCCACGACAAUCGGUGGUUGCGAAACCUCGGUUGCCCGUCGUGUGCGGUCGUCGCGCAUCGAGGGCUCGAAAAAAUUGCCGGGUUCCGGCUCGGCUUUCAACGCGACCCUAGGUCAGGCGGGGUUACCCGCUGAAUUUAAGCAUAUCAAUAAGCGGAGGA
rnacentral:misc_RNA from 1 species